rnacentral:rRNA from 2 species
AAAUUGAAGAGUUUGAUCAUGGCUCAGAUUGAACGCUGGCGGCAGGCCUAACACAUGCAAGUCGAACGGUAACAGGAAGCAGCUUGCUGCUUUGCUGACGAGUGGCGGACGGGUGAGUAAUGUCUGGGAAACUGCCUGAUGGAGGGGGAUAACUACUGGAAACGGUGGCUAAUACCGCAUAACGUCGCAAGACCAAAGAGGGGGACCUUCGGGCCUCUUGCCAUCAGAUGUGCCCAGAUGGGAUUAGCUUGUUGGUGAGGUAACGGCUCACCAAGGCGACGAUCCCUAGCUGGUCUGAGAGGAUGACCAGCCACACUGGAACUGAGACACGGUCCAGACUCCUACGGGAGGCAGCAGUGGGGAAUAUUGCACAAUGGGCGCAAGCCUGAUGCAGCCAUGCCGCGUGUAUGAAGAAGGCCUUCGGGUUGUAAAGUACUUUCAGCGGGGAGGAAGGUGUUGCGGUUAAUAACCGCAGCAAUUGACGUUACCCGCAGAAGAAGCACCGGCUAACUCCGUGCCAGCAGCCGCGGUAAUACGGAGGGUGCAAGCGUUAAUCGGAAUUACUGGGCGUAAAGCGCACGCAGGCGGUCUGUCAAGUCGGAUGUGAAAUCCCCGGGCUCAACCUGGGAACUGCAUUCGAAACUGGCAGGCUUGAGUCUUGUAGAGGGGGUAGAAUUCCAGGUGUAGCGGUGAAAUGCGUAGAGAUCUGGAGGAAUACCGGUGGCGAAGGCGGCCCCCUGGACAAAGACUGACGCUCAGGUGCGAAAGCGUGGGGAGCAAACAGGAUUAGAUACCCUGGUAGUCCACGCCGUAAACGAUGUCUACUUGGAGGUUGUGCCCUUGAGGCGUGGCUUCCGGAGCUAACGCGUUAAGUAGACCGCCUGGGGAGUACGGCCGCAAGGUUAAAACUCAAAUGAAUUGACGGGGGCCCGCACAAGCGGUGGAGCAUGUGGUUUAAUUCGAUGCAACGCGAAGAACCUUACCUGGUCUUGACAUCCACAGAACUUUCCAGAGAUGGAUUGGUGCCUUCGGGAACUGUGAGACAGGUGCUGCAUGGCUGUCGUCAGCUCGUGUUGUGAAAUGUUGGGUUAAGUCCCGCAACGAGCGCAACCCUUAUCCUUUGUUGCCAGCGAUUAGGUCGGGAACUCAAAGGAGACUGCCAGUGAUAAACUGGAGGAAGGUGGGGAUGACGUCAAGUCAUCAUGGCCCUUACGACCAGGGCUACACACGUGCUACAAUGGCGCAUACAAAGAGAAGCGACCUCGCGAGAGCAAGCGGACCUCAUAAAGUGCGUCGUAGUCCGGAUUGGAGUCUGCAACUCGACUCCAUGAAGUCGGAAUCGCUAGUAAUCGUGGAUCAGAAUGCCACGGUGAAUACGUUCCCGGGCCUUGUACACACCGCCCGUCACACCAUGGGAGUGGGUUGCAAAAGAAGUAGGUAGCUUAACCUUCGGGAGGGCGCUUACCACUUUGUGAUUCAUGACUGGGGUGAAGUCGUAACAAGGUAACCGUAGGGGAACCUGCGGUUGGAUCACCUCCUUA